UACGAAGGGGGCUAGCGUUGCUCGGAAUCACUGGGCGUAAAGCGCACGUAGGCGGACUCUUAAGUCGGUGGUGAAAUCCUGGAGCUCAACUCCAGAACUGCCUCCGAUACUGGGAGCCUUCGAGUCCGGGAGAGGUGAGUGGAACUGCGAGUGUAGAGGUGAAAUUCGUAGAUAUUCGCAAGAACACCAGUGGCGAAGGCGGCUCACUGGCCCGGUACUGACGCUGAGGCGCGAAAGCGUGGUGAGCAAACAGG
rnacentral:rRNA from 1 species